UACGUAGGGGGCUAGCGUUGUCCGGAAUCAUUGGGCGUAAAGAGCGUGUAGGCGGCCCGGUAAGUCCGCUGUGAAAGUCGGGGGCUCAACCCUCGAAUGCCGGUGGAUACUGUCGGGCUAGAGUGCGGAAGAGGCGAGUGGAAUUCCUGGUGUAGCGGUGAAAUGCGCAGAUAUCAGGAGGAACACCGGUGGCGAAGGCGGGUCUCUGGGCCGAAACUGACGCUGAGGAGCGAAAGCGUGGGGAGCAAACAGG
rnacentral:rRNA from 1 species